rnacentral:rRNA from 1 species
UACGUAGGGUGCGAGCGUUAAUCGGAAUUACUGGGCGUAAAGCGUGCGUAGGCGGUUUUGUAAGCCAGAUGUGAAAUCCCCGGGCUCAACCUGGGAAUGGCAUUUGGGACUGCAAGGCUGGAGUGCGGCAGAGGAGACUGGAAUUCCUGGUGUAGCAGUGAAAUGCGUAGAUAUCAGGAGGAACAUCAGUGGCGAAGGCGGCCUUCUGGUCCAGUACUGACACUCAAGUGCGAAAGCGUGGGGAGCAAACAGG